rnacentral:sRNA from 2 species
CUAAUCCUGCCGCCGUCCGGAUGACCGGUCGACAUCGGUGCAUCGGCAGGAGUGGAGGACCCGAGUACGACGGGCCCGCCCGGGAAGUCCGGGCGACGCCCUUGGGGUGAAGCCGCAGAGCACGACGCGGCCGGGCAUCUUCGCCUGCCCGAACCCGACAGGUCAUCCUUCUCAGGCGGCUGACGAAGGGUUAU